GCCGCAUUCGUCUAGUGGUUAGGACAUCAGGUUCUCAUCCUGAAAACACGGGUUCGAUUCCCGUAUGCGGUA
rnacentral:tRNA from 1 species